UGCGUAGGUGGUUUCUUAAGUCAGAGGUGAAAGGCUACGGCUCAACCGUAGUAAGCCUUUGAAACUGGGAAACUUGAGUGCAGGAGAGGAGAGUGGAAUUCCUAGUGUAGCGGUGAAAUGCGUAGAUAUUAGGAGGAACACCAGUUGCGAAGGCGGCUCUCUGGACUGUAACUGACACUGAGGCACGAAAGCGCGGGGAGCAAACA
rnacentral:rRNA from 1 species